CCUACGGGAGGCAGCAGUAGGGAAGGUUCGUCAAUGGGCGCAAGCCUGAACGAGCAAUGCCGCGUGAACGAGGAAGGUCUUCGGAUCGUAAAGUUCUGUUGAAGGGGAAAAAGAGCGGAGAGAGGAAAUGCUUUCUGAUUGAUAUUACCCUUCGAGGAAGGCACGGCUAACUACGUGCCAGCAGCCGCGGUAAUACGUAGGUGGCGAGCGUUAUCCGGAAUGAUUGGGCGGAAAGGGUGCGUAGGCGGCCUGCUAAGUCUGGCGUUAAAGGUACCGGCUCAACCGGUACAGGCUCUGGAAACUGGCGGGCUAGAGGGCAGGCGAGGGCGGUGGAACUCCAUGUGUAGCGGUCAAAUGCGUAGAUCUCUGG
rnacentral:rRNA from 1 species